AGUCGCCCACCGCGUAGCAGACGAGCAGGUUAUAAAAGCGCCACCUACGGCCGUCGGUUGAACGAAAGUGGGCGCAAGCUGUCCCGUAGAAGCCGGAUGUCUGUGCAGGUCUGGAGUUACAGUAGGUCGUGCUUCAAGCCACCCUACUGCAUAGAUGCCCUACUGCUAGUACACUCUAGGACUCUAGCUCGACGGCAGCCGCAUGACAGCCGUUUAAGCCGCUUCCCGCCACCGGAUUAAUCCGACAGAAGGUGAGAAAAGUUUGCGCAGGCCGUGGCGUGGUGUGGGCUACUCGCAGGCAUGGUGAGGAUAUGCCUGGCUUCGUUCUGCGCAAGAACCCACGUGUGAACGAUUUCGCGACGAGACAUGUAGCAUUGCAGCCAAUAUUUCGGUACGCUAAUUUUGGUUGGUGUGUGUCGUCUGUGGCUUGGCAAGGUCUGCGCGAUGGAAGAAGCCAGGAAAUACAGGCGCACCUGUUGCGUGCCGCAAUGUGCGAACCGGACGCUUAGAAGAAAAAUUUGUCUUCAUUCCUUGCCGAGUGAUGCGGCCAAGAGAAGAGGAUGGAUGUUGAGGCUCUGCGUCGACGACUUCUUCAAGUGCCCACAAGCAUCAACAGCAGAGCGAAAGUUAUUGCGGCUUAAGAAAACUGCAGUGCCUUCACAAUGCCUGCCUGUAACAAAGGAUGCCGAACAUGCUCAACUGGCACUAACGAAUAUUUGUGACAUGUCAACAGUGCUUCACGAAAGCGACGGCACACAUGGAAGACAUGAAAAGGUGGCGGCCAGACCUUGCGCUUUGGUGGCAUCUUCGGCCAUCUGGACGACCCGGAGUUGGAGAUCCAGGUCGGAGCUGAGCAGUGCAGUCUCCCACUGCUCUGGGGUAGCGAUGGGAAGGGGAGGCAGUAAGCUAGUGCGUUUUCUGGUCCUUAUCGGGGGAAAUGCCCACAUGAUGUGGUGAAUAUUGGCUCUACCUGCGCAUGAUAUACAACCUGCUGCGCAUGAUAUACAACCUGCUGUAGAGGUGCCUGGGAUAGAGGUGACUCUACAUCACUGGGUUUGGGAAAGUGUGCGUCUGUAAAAGGUGCCAGGUAACUGAUGGCUUUUUAUCUAAAUUUUUAUGAGCGGCAGGAUAAUGCCUCCUGGCCUGGCUGUAGAAUUGUAGAAUUUCCUAGUAGGAUACCACCCAUUCCCUGCCUGAGCGGAAGAGGGAUUCGAACUGCUCAUCGCAAGAGGUUGUGCGGCUGCGGAUGGCCAGUUCUCGCGCCGCACUGUGAGCAGCUUCGUUUCCCGGAAGGCCAGAGUGCGCCGGUGCCCAAACGAGUCGCGCCCAUCUUAGCCGAGUUUCUGUACCGUGGCCAGAAUUUUGAGGGCUUCAGGCGAAAUGUGCCCUUUCGCAAAACUUCGUAUAGCUGUCUUUGAGUCGCUGACUGUGCAUUUGGCUGCAGAGGAAACGUAUGCCAAGGCAAUUGCGACUUCCUCCUUGACCUUCGGUGAACUUGUAAUAACUGAGCUUGCAGCGGUGAUUUUAUUUUGCUGAUUUAGUACAGCCGCUGUCAUAGCGUCUCGGCCACAAUACUCGGCAGUGUCUACAUAGGCCAUGUCCUUAGAGUUGGCAAAGCGUUUUUGUAGGCAUUCGGCUCUUUCCUGCCUGCGCUCUUGGUUGUGUAGAGGGUGAGUGUUCUUAGGUAAUGGUGGGACGUGUAUGUGUUUUCUUAACUCUGUGGGAAUGUCCUGCAUUGGUCCAAAUUGGGUGUUGUAUGUAAUCCCGAGUGAUUGGAGAAUGUUUUGCCCCGUCGGAGAAUGUGGGAGUCUCUCCAGUUGGGCAAUUCUUUGGGCUCCCAUGAGCUCGUCAAGAGUAUUGUGUAUUCCUAGAGCCUCAACCUUAUCGUUUGGGUCAUAAUUGGGAGGCGUAGAGCCUGCUUGUAUGCUCUCUUGAUCAUAUGGUUAAUUUUGCAGCAUUCAUCACUCUUUAGUUGCAGGAAUGGGGUAGCGUACACUAUUCUGCUUAUGACAAAAGCCUGUACCAAUCUGAGUAGAUUAGCUUCUUUCAUGCCAUGGGUGUCUGUUGGCGAUGCACAUGCGAGUCUAGUGCCUUUAUCACUUUGUUGUGCCCAUUGGCCUGUAUUCUAAGUCCAUGGAUCCUGAUGCUCGGUACUAUUAGGACGUCCUGGUCGUUAGCUUUGAGUGCGAUUUUUUUUUAUUUACCCAUACUGUUGGCCUGUCGGCUGUUACAGGGUGGGUCAAAAGCAGCAGUUCAACAAUUAGUACAAUACAUGGAUAUUCCAGUAAUACAUAUACCAAAAAAAAAAGUCAAUAGCAGUAUUUCUGCAAUUGGUACAGUACAUAAAUAAAAAAACAAGUCAUGAAUAACGUACAUGAAUAACGCAGUACAUGAAUAGGCGAACAUAAGUGAACAAAAAAGAUACAUAAGUGAAAUACACACACACAUAAGCACAUACUCCGAUCAAUAAUACGACUGUAAAUGCAGUGUUAACAAACGAGCUCCUACGCACCCCCCCUCCCCCCCCCCCUGUGGUGACAGUUUUCCUGCCUCUGCAUGUGGCUACAGAUGUCCGCACGCCAAGUUUCAUCCUAGGCGCCAGCGCUCAUUUCUCCCCUGGCAGAACGAUUUCACUUCACAUGGGUGUAUGUGUCCGCCGCUUCGCUUCAAGGUCGCGCCUGUGCAUAGCUCACGCUGCAUGCGAAACAUCUCUUGUUUGCGACGGCGCCUCUUCGGAUGACUGGAAAUUAUUUUGUUAACUGUCACAACAGCAAUGUAAACAUGAAAGGAUUGAUGUCAACAGUGAAAUUCUGCUGAUACAGAAUAAAAUGGUACGAAAAAAGCAGAUGACAGACAUGGAUUACUGCAGUGCGCCGAACAAAGUAAACAACUGGCAAACGAAGCGAUCUUGUUCAUGGAUCACUCGCGAGUGUAUCACAGUUUUUACAUGUAAUCCACAUGAAUUUCAUGAUUACUGGGCAUAUAAUCCUUUUAUUCAAGUAAAAACUUUCAGUUGUUAGAUCAGCGCUUGUCCGGUCUUCUUUCUCAUGUUUUGUUUGUGGGUGCGCUGCCCAGGAAUAGAAACCACUUCUGUUGCAUGCACUAGCAGUGGCCAGAGUUCAUGCAUGCCGAGAAAUUUAAUAUGUGCAUGAUGCAUUAAACACGACCGGAAUUCAUUCCUGCAUCACCACUGCACUGAUCGAUUGAGUUACUGAAUGAUACACGCCCGCGUCUUUGUUGCGCUGGCAUUGAUGAAGCAGAAAUGAUUACUAAUACUUUCAACUUCCGUCUCUUGACCACUUUCGAAAAAUGGCCAAGCUAUUUACGCUGCUGCCUCUAUUCUGUGCUGUAUGGGACGUACUAGAUAAAGUUGUGUGCACAUGUCAUAUUUGUGCUUUGCGGCGAUAUAUUUAGUAUAUUUCCACACAGUGUUGAUGGAAGUCCAUUGUUGCCAACAGAGCCAACACGGAUUUAUAGCAAACAUGUUGUGGGAACCUGCAAAUAUGACUUUGGCUAACACACAUCAUAUGUGCCAAUGGUUUUUCCAGCCACACAUUCGAUGUCAUUUCCAAUUACUUGCUCAGCGUCACUUACAUGGCUAAGCAGACGCUGCCCUUUCUCCGUAUUGCAGCCAUGAAAAUAAUCGUCAAGCGUACACAAAUAGAAGCGUGUACAUCGUCCUUUGAAUAAAACGUCCACACACACGCACGCAGGCACACACCGCACACGGUAUGAAACGUGCCCAAACAUGUGCAGUGCAAGAGGCAAUCAAGGUGAUGUGAAUGAUAGGUGGGAGAGAUGUACACUAGCUAGUUAAAUUUUGCCCCCGCAUGCGGUGCUCUCACGCUGGCGUGACAGCGCCGCUUGGCGGCGCCGUUCUUGUCUAUAUACAGAAGUAACUCUGACUUUUACGAGGAGCAGGAGAGUCCUUUAGGUGUUAUGUAAUCCAUGACAACUUCGAUCGCGCUUUGCAAAGUUUCUUGGAUCUCUCCGUCACUCCCUCCACUUACCCAGACUGUCACGUCGUCUGCAUAUAAGAUAUGUUGUAGUUUAGGGAUUUCAGCUAGCUUGCUUGGCAAUCCUAGCAUGGCCAUAUUGAAGAGGUAGGGAGACGGGACCGAGCCCUGGGGUGUCCCUUGAUUCCCGAGCGAAAUGCUCUCCGAAGUUACCCCACCGAUGGUGGUUGUAGCUGUCCUGUCUGUAAGAAAGUCUUUGAUAUAAUUGUAGGCUCUGGAUCCAACGCCUAGUUUGUUUAGCUGGGUUAGGAUGGCUUCGUGAUGAACAUUGUUAAAGGCUUUGGCUAGGUCAAGGCCAAUAAUGGCCCGGGUAUCAAGUUAUAAGCUGUGAUCACUGUCUAUUAUUUAGUGCUUAAUUUGAAGCAUAAUGUCCAGCGUUGAAAGCUUGGGCCUGAAUCCAAUCAUCGUGUGAGGGUACAGGACGUGCACUUCCAUGUGUUUGUUUAGGCGAGUAAGGAUGAUGUGUUUCCAGUAAGUUUGCCUAGGCAGGAGGUGAGUGAGAUGGGUGCUAAGUUCUGUAGCUGCAGCCUCUUGCCUGGCUUUGUUGUCAUGACAAUUUUAGCUUCCUUCCACUGUUGAGGGAUGCGGCCAGUCUCCCAACACUUAUUGAGAUACUUAGUGCUUCUAUGGAGUCAUCGUCCAGUUUCCGUAUAGUUUUGUUUAUUAUGCCGUCCGGACCCUGA